GCUCAAACACAUUCAGACAUGAAAAAUAUUCCGUUGACAUGGACCAGUCAGACAUCAAACAUGUCUACAUUGAAGGCUCUUCUAAGAAAGCUGACCAAUACGAAGCCUGUGAUUGGCUGGUAUUUUUGCAUGUGGUUGUGUUUACGUCCGAGAUACACCGAUAAUGCUGACACAUAUUUUCCACUGACGUGGACCAAUCAGACCUCGACACAGACAUCCGCUUCAAAGACCCUCACCAUCGUCAGCCCCCCAGAACCAGUCUCUGAGAUGGAGAGGUCAAGAGCUGUUCGCAUCGCUCUCGUCUGUGCUUUGUUCUCCAGGAUCUCUGGAGCAGAAGUGGAGAUGAGGGUCAGACAAGGAGACGACGUGACUCUCUACAGCGACUGUGUUUGGAAGAGUGGAUUUAAUAUAGUUUGGUUUAGAAACUCCUCAUGUGAGCAUCGACCUCCUCUCAUGAUAUCAACUCUAGAUUUGAUACGUGGUGCUGAUCCACGUUACUCUGCUGUGUGGAAUCCCUCCAGCAAAACUCAUGAUCUGUUGGUGAAGAACGUCUCUGAUUCAGAUGUGGGUCUGUACUACUGCGCUGUGUAUGAGAAAAACAUCACCAAAGACGAAAAGGGAGUUUUACACUCUGAAGUUAUUUAUCAUUACGGGAAAAGAACCACUCGACUCUCUCUCCUUGGUCCUUGUACUGAUCUCCCCCAGACCCCCUCAACCCCUCCUGUCUCAGACUGCAGCGUCUGCUGGAAGCUGCUGGUCAGUGUGUGUCCUGUGUGUGUUCUCCUCUCCUCCACCUGUCUGUACUGCAUCUACAGACACACAAAGAAAGGUCCUGAAGAUGGAAGAGAACUCCUGUCUGGAACUGUGUUUCAGGUGGGCUGUGUUGAGGAGCAUCCCUGUGAGAGGAGCAUGAAUGGAGAGUCCUGUCUACACACUGAAGUCUGUUACACGUCUCUGAAAUCUGGCCUCAAAUCAGACUAAAACACACCAGCCUCCUUCACCCACCUCACUCACUCACAUGGCACAUUAUUUCAGUCUGAUUUUUCAUUCUGCUGUUGAAAAAUGGACUUUAUUUCCAUCUCAUUAACAUGGGUAGCUGUUCAGGUUGUAGCCAGACUGAAGCCAAUCUCAGCCAUGAAUAAAAUCAAGGAACGUCCAUGGAUUUAAAGUGAUUUUACAUCCCAGAACAGAUACUGUUGUUGGUCUUUACCUCCUCUACGGUGACAUUUCUCCCCUAAAAGUAUGUUCAUACAGUACAUGAGCCAGGUUAGGAUGAGCUUAUUCCUGAUUGGUGGACAACUCAUGGUGUGCACCUGAAAAGGACCCCUGCCAUGUGGGUGUUCUUGACGCUGGCACCGUGUGGCCUUUGCUUUUGUUAACAUAGAGACUUUGUAACACCUUCAGCCUGAAUGUUUUCAGAUGGUAUAGUGGUCUUUAUACUAUGAGACUACCUGUUUAACAUUCUGAGAAGGUCUACAUGAAGUAGGGAUUGACCUGUCCAAGCAGAACUUGAAGCAAAUGUGUACAUGUCUCCUAAAGAAGAGUUUGGGUGGGUACAGUUUCCUUAUACUUCCUUGUGUUAUUAUAGCUGAGAGUGAGGAAAAAUAACUGUAUUUUUCUUUUGAGUUUUGCUUCAGUGUUGUUGGUCAGUAAGCUCUAUGGUUAUGUUUGAAGCAGUUAAGUCUGGAGUGGGC
ensembl:lncRNA